CGGCACGGGUGAGUAACACGUAUGCAAUCCACCUGUAACAGGGGGAUAACCCGGAGAAAUCCGGACUAAUACCGCAUGAAGCAGGGGCCCCGCAUGGGGAUAUUUGCUAAAGAUUCAUCGCUGAUAGAUAGGCAUGCGUUCCAUUAGGCAGUUGGCGGGGUAACGGCCCACCUAGUCUUCGAUGGAUAGGGGUUCUGAGAGGAAGGUCCCCCACAUUGGAACUGAGACACGGUCCAA
rnacentral:rRNA from 1 species